UAUAUAUCCUGAUGUCCUGAUGAAAGCUCUGUGCAAGAGCUGAAACGUUGACUGGAACUGUAAGAAUAAAGAAGAACUAACAUCUCUUUUUUAUCAAAUCCUGGAGUGCAGGUAUUUCUUUCAUUAUUUAUACUUUAUCUGACCAGAUGAUGGGAGUGGAUGGAUUUGGGUGAUGGAUAUGGAUGAUGGGAGUGGAUGGAUGAUGGGAGUGGAUGCAUUUGGGGAUGGAUAUGGAUGAUGGGAGUGGAUGGAUUUGGGGAUGUAUAUGGGUGAUGGGAAUGGAUGGAUGAUAUGGAUGAUGGGAGUGGAUGGAUA